rnacentral:snRNA from 1 species
GUACUUGCUUUGGCAGCACAUAUACUAAAAUUAGAACUAUACACAGAAGAUUAGCAUGGUCUUUGCAUGACGAUGAUAUGCAGAUUCAUGAAGUAUUCCAUAUUUUU